rnacentral:lncRNA from 1 species
UGGAGGAAAAGUUAAAUCCUAUUCCCCCCUACUUGUACUACUUCUGAUAAUGAAUUCAAGGAUUCUUGAAGGUGACUGGUAGAGGUUUCUAUUCUCUCUAUAUCUAAAUCAAUAGCUGCUCUCAGACUGUCAUAAUUUUCCUUUAUAAGACCAAAGCAAAGUUCUGGUGGCUGCACUGGGCAGCCCCAACCCCAACAGAAGGGAGAUAGUGAGUGCUAUAAGAGGAUUUUUUGGAUGGGCACAUAGGAUGGGGUAAGAAACCAGAAUCCUAAGGUAGCACCAGGCAGUCAGGAGAUUGAUCUUGAGUAUGGGUGGAUUGUCUGUCUUCUGUACCAUCCAGGAGCAUUUCCUGGAUGCUGGGGAGCUGGGCAUCUGUAGGUUUCACAUGGGAGGUUUGCACCCAGGCAGCAAUACCAUCGAUCUUGAGGGCUGUGAGAGUGGUUAACAGCACCAGGAAUGGCCUCUUCCAUCAGGGUUCCAGCAACUGUGCAUGAGGCCUCCUAACACAGUCACAAGUGAGGGGCCUCUGGCAUCUCUGAGGCAUUUAAGGCAGACAGUGUGGGGAAAAUCUCAUGUUGUUCUGACUGAAGGGUUUGGAGACUGAAGAAGAGGUUCCUAUUAGUGAGUUAAGAUAUUUCCAGAAAGGGCCUAGUGGACAACAAGGGAGUUGGGAUACCAAACAGGAUCUCAAAAAGGGUCAGGUUAAAAUGGUGGGGGUUCUUCUGGGCUUGGAACAGGGCCAGGGGAAGGAGCACCACCCAGUCACUGAGAGUCUCAAAGGACAAUUUAGUUAAGGUCUCUUUUAGGGCUGUGUUCAUUCUCCCUUCCUGCCCUGAACUCUGGGUAUGGUAAGCAACAUGGAGCUUCCAGUUAUUCCCCAAUAUCUCUGUCAAUCCCUGACUUGCCUUAGAGAUAAAAGAUAAAACCAAGGCCAUUGUCCAAUCCAAUUACAUUGGGCACUCCAAACCUCAGGAAAUUUUUCUCUAAUAUCUUUUUGGCUACUGAGAUAGUGGUUUCCUUCUUGGUGGGUAAAGCCUCAACCCAUCCAGAAAAAGUAUCCUCAAACACUAGAAGGUAUUUGUAACUAUAUUUUCCUGGCAUAAGUAUUCACUUGCUGUCAUAGCUUACACUGUUCUACUAUCUCUCUGUCUCAAAACCUGAGGUCCAUUAUAUAUAAUUUAGAUCCCUUAACUGCUUGGACAAGCUUUUUAUCACCUAAAUGAGUCCAUCUGUGCAUUUGGUCUAGUAAGCAUUUUGCUUGCUUUCUGACAAGUAUAGUUUUUCCUUGUGUGUACCUUUGCUCUUCCUUCUCUAGGUAAUAGUUGGUAGGAUGCCUUUCAAUCUGAGUCCUUUCUUCUGCAGUAUAUUCUAAGUGAGGCUGCAGAUGUCUCUUGCAGGCCCAUAUUCUGGAUAGGCUCCUACAGAUUAUCUGCCUGGUCAUUGCCACAGGCCACUGAGUCUCUUCCCUUCUGAUGUCCUGGGAAAUUAAUAAUACUCAUAGUUGAUGGCUUCAUCAAGGCAUCUAGGAGAUUCAAGAUCUCCUGCUUAUUUUUCACUUUUUUUCCCUCUGAUUUAAGCAGUCUUCUCUCUUGGUAUAUAAUCCCAUGAACGAGGGCUGUGGCCAAGGCAUACCUGCUAUCAGUAUAGAGGUAACUUUUCUUGCCAGCCUCAAGUUCCAAGGCUUUUGUGAGGGCAAUUGCAUCUGCUUUUGACUGGGGGGGGGGCAUAAAUGCUCAUCCCGGAUAACAUUUGAGUGGUCUACCACUGCAGCACUCACUCUUCUGACCUUCAUGGAGAAAUAUGCAUUCGUCUGUAAAGCAGGAAGCCUUGGCUCCCAGCAGAGGUCAGUCAGAGAGAUCUUUCUUCCACCCAUGGGCUCUCCUUUUGGGUCAGUUAGUUGUGGCCCAUCAGGCAGGAAGUAUAUCUUGGCCCCUAUCUUGGAGAGUAAGCCUCAUCCUAACAGAGAGUAGGGACAGUCUGGGACAACUCUAAAUGAAUGGGAUAUCCAGCCCAUCCCUUGGUCCACUCUUUGGAUAGUUCAUGAGUACAUUUUGGUGUCAGUGGCCCCUUGGACCUAAGAUUCUUUUCUUUGAAACAGGGCCAUCAGCUUGAAGGAGGACCAAGUGGUGACCCCAUGUGUCCAUCAAGAAUUUAGUUGGUUUCCCCUCCACUUUCAGAGAUACCCUGGGUUUAGGGAGGGUACUAACCCUUUAUCCUUUAAUCACUGUCUUCAUUCAGGGCUAACACCUUUGUUGUUUUGAGGCACUUUUCCAAUGUCUUGGGAUUUCCCACCCAUAACUUCUGUUUGUUGGAACACUCCUUGGCCCAGUGGCCCCUCACCUUGCAAUAUGUGCAUUGGUUCUUUUCAAGGGGUUUUCUGUCUCUCUUUGGUUAGAGUCUCUUUCUCUGCUUUCCCUAUCUAAUAUAACCAAGAUUAUAUUAGUAAUCCUGUAAAUUCCUUUCCUGUCACUUUUCCUUUUCCUAUUUUUUUAUCUCCCUCUCAUCUUCUUCUUUUCUCUUUCUCUGAUCCUCCUCCUUUCUCUCCCUGUUAUGGUAGACUUUCUCAGCUACCUGCACUAAAUCCCUCAAAGGCUUGUCCUGUAGUUCCUAUAGUCCCUGAAGCUUUUUUUGUAAUAUCUCUACUAGCCUGGUUUAUAAAAGCCGUAGUCACUGUAGCAUUGUGAUUCUUGCUGCUGGAGUCAUAGGGUGUGUACUGAUGGGAUGCCUCCAUAAGUCACUCUAGAAAGGCUGUAGGUGACUCUUCUGGUCCCUGCUUAACCUUAGGUACCGUGGUCAAAUUUGUGGGUCAUUGCACAGCCCCCUUGAGACCUGCCAAUAGAGCUUGGCAGUAGACCUUCAGGUGCUCUUUACCUUCUGCUGUAUUAAAGUCCCAGUCAGGUCUAGUCAGGAGAAACCCGAUGUCGAUGAUAGCCUGGUCAAUCAAUGGUGCCCCUUGUGUCUCAGGGGACAUUCUUUCUGGCUUCCUGAAUUAUCCUCUCUCACUCUUCAGUCAUGAAGAACACUCUCAUGAGUUAUUGGAUAUCAUCCCAGGUAUGCUGAUGAGUAGAUAAAAGUCUCAAAUAGAUUAACCUGCCUCUUGGUGGUUAUCUGAAAAGGAGGGAAGAUAGGUGUUGGGCCUACCAGUUGUACAAGUCAGCC